AAAAUCCCAAUCACAAUGGUUUGCUAUUUUCAUUGCCAAUACAAAAUCAAAACAAACAUGAACUACAUCCAUACUCAUCCUUUUGCUGAUAUUCCUUCCCCAUGAAACUAAAUAAAUCCUCACUAAGAAAAGAAAGAAAUUCUCUAGCUAAAUAAAGGAUCUUGCAUUACCACCAUGCAAUUCCGCACUACCAGACCCUGCUGCUAGCGGCCCUAGAGAAUUCCUAGUACACCAUGAAUGCUGC
rnacentral:lncRNA from 1 species